AAACCAACUGGGAUUACCUUAGUAACGGCGAGUGAAGCGGUAAAAGCUCAAAUUUGAAAUCUGGUACUUUCAGUGCCCGAGUUGUAAUUUGUAGAAUUUGUCUUUGAUUAGGUCCUUGUCUAUGUUCCUUGGAACAGGACGUCAUAGAGGGUGAGAAUCCCGUUUGGCGAGGAUACCUUUUCUCUGUAAGACUUUUUCGAAGAGUCGAGUUGUUUGGGAAUGCAGCUCAAAGUGGGUGGUAAAUUCCAUCUAAAGCUAAAUAUUGGCGAGAGACCGAUAGCGAACAAGUACAGUGAUGGAAAGAUGAAAAGAACUUUGAAAAGAGAGUGAAAAAGUACGUGAAAUUGUUGAAAGGGAAGGGCAUUUGAUCAGACAUGGUGUUUUUGCAUGCACUCGCCUCUCGUGGGCUUGGGCCUCUCAAAAUUUCACUGGGCCAACAUCAAUUUUGGCGGCAGGAAAAAUCUUUGGAAUGUAGCUACCUCGGUAGUGUUGUAGCUUUUUGGAAUACUGCCAGCUGGGAUUGA
rnacentral:rRNA from 1 species